UCCAGAGUGGCGGAACUGGUUACCGCGUCCGGGAAAUGGAUAAAGCUCCUCAUGCAGGUUCGAUUCCUGCCUCUGGAA
rnacentral:tRNA from 1 species